UACAGAGGGUGCAAGCGUUGUUCGGAAUUAUUGGGCGUAAAGCGCGCGCAGGCGGUCUUCCAAGUCAGUGGUGAAAGCCCGGAGCUCAACUCCGGAACUGCCAUUGAAACUGUUGGACUUGAGUACGAGAGAGGUGAGUGGAAUUCCCAGUGUAGAGGUGAAAUUCGUAGAGAUUUGGAGGAACACCAGUGGCGAAGGCGGCUUUCUGGUCUGU
rnacentral:rRNA from 1 species